rnacentral:ncRNA from 1 species
UUUCUUCGGGGCAGGGUGUAAUUCCCGAUCGGCGGUAUAGUCCGCGAGCUUAAAAAAGCUGAACCGUUGCAACUACGGUACCGACAGUAUAGUCUGGAUGAUAGAAGAA